AUUGAACGCUGGCGGCAGGCCUAACACCUGCAAGUCGAGCGGAGCGGCGGACGGGUGAGUAAUGCCUAGGAAUCUGCCUGGUAGUGGGGGAUACCGUCCGGCAACGGGCGCUAAUACCGCCUACUAUCACAUGAGCCUAGGUAGGAUUAGCUAGUUGGUGGGGUAAAGGCCUACCAAGGCGACCAUCCGGAACUGGUCUGAGAUGAUGAUCAGUCACACUGGAACUGAGACACGGUCAAGACUCCUACGGUAGGCAGCAUUGGGGAAUAUUGGACAAUUGGCGAAAGCCUGAUCCAGCCAUGCAUCGUGUGUGAAUAAGGUCUUCGGAUUUUAAAGCACGUUAAUUUGGGAGGCGUUACCAUCAGAAUAAGCACCGGCUAACUUCGUGCCAGCAGCCGCGGUAAUUC
rnacentral:rRNA from 1 species